GUUUCUCCCAAGAGAAUCACUGCCAAAGUAAACAAACAUCUUCAUGAAAGGAAAAUAAUGUCUGAGGAGCAUUCAGAAUUCCAUGUUUUACAGAAGAGUAUUUAUGGCAACCAACUAGUGAAUUAAAGUGAAAGAAAUCCCAUUACUAGUUUGCUGCUUCUGCUGUGCUAAUCGAAAGUGGCAAUUUCUGCUUGCUUCUCUGCGCUACAGUGCAGGGUCUCAGUAUAAGCUGUAAUUUAAAAUGAAGGAAAUUAUGAGAUGAAACUCUUUUUAGAAGCAGUGUUAUGUUGGGUUUGCUUUUAUUUUUCUUAAUUGUUGGUAAUUGUAUAGAGCUUCUGCAUGUAAAACUCAGGGGAACUGCUAUUGUCUCCAAAAUGUUCUGCGUGUGGUUGGCAAGAACAACAAGCACAGAAGAAAGUUCAGCUAAAAAAUUCAUAAAAGCUGCCUGGUGGAAUGCAUUGCAAUCAGCUGUACACCUUGGUGCUCUUAUCCCUCUGAACUGAUCAUUUUUAGCUGAGAUGAAACAUUCUGAGGAGCAGGAGCCUGGCAGAUUUGCGGCGUAGAUUGUUUGAAGGUUUAAACACUGUGACUAUCUCAUCUUACUGCAAGUCUGUAGAUAGAACAUAAGCUCAAGUUGCUGAAAAGUGAUAGAAUGGCUCUGUGUGCACAGCCUACAAAACUGUGAAGGGCUUAUUUUCUGUGUGCUUUCUGCGUUCCCUCCAGGAGAGCAGUAAUUCCCCAGUGGAGCAAGCACACUUUGCAUUUGUUGAGGAUGAGACUGUCUCUAGUCCUUUGUUUGGGCAGCGGCUUUCACAAAGGGGACCAGUACUCACUGGGAACUUGCCAGCACCAUCAUAUGUUUCAUGACAAAUGCUAAGUGUUCAGAAAGUUGGCACUACAAAAUAGAGAUACUGUUAAUCUCUGUUUAAUUCUCAAAAUGGCUUGUAGGAUUUUAAAGCUUGUGUUGUUGCUGGUGCACUCACCCAUCAGAUAGCAUUUUUAACAGCCCUUCUAAUAUGGCCGGUUAAUUUGGUUAUAUUACUAGGAUGUAAAACAAAAUGAUUCCUAGGAUAGAGAUUGCUAGAUUGCUAAGAUUUUACUGCCGUUUUUUUCCUAUCUGCUGCGUGCUGAAGAACAGUGUGUCCAGCCACAUGUAUUGCUGUAGUCAGACCAUGGUAUUUUCUCAUCUUCUUUCCCAUGUACAGCUCAGACACAGCUGCCGCUAUUUACCAAACACAAAGGUGUUUUUCACAGCUCAGAGAGUAUGUUUGGGUUCUGCUGUAAGGAACGCGAGAUACAUCUCUAUUAAUUGCAUGAAUGUUCAGUGUAUGUUUAUGUACCUGGAUACUGUGGUGUUCUCUUUGGAAUUUUAGGGAGCGAGCUCAUAGAUCUUUGGAUACGUCUCCAGAGACAUGAUGAUUCCAGCGUCAGAAUAAUCUGCUCCAUAACGUGACCACAUUUAGGAGACCAGCUCCUGGGAGGAGACCCAAGGAGACAUCUUGAAAUUUCUGAGCAGAGAGGCUUUUGACACAGAGUUGGUGUACGCCGGAUGGCAUCCAGUUGGUAGCCUGCAUUGCUGGUGCAGCAGGAGGAAGCAAGCCUCUGACAAGAGCUAGAUAUGUCACCCUGCAGGACUGCACGGACAGCUUAAAUGGAGUGUAUGUUUGCACCUAAGCAGACUGUUAAGUAACAGAAGUGAGGUCAACAGCUCCAAGAGUGACUAUCGCAAUAUCCAGCAGCCAUAGCACUGACAUUGAGACUGGCUGGGCCAUGAGGUCAUGCUUCUGGGAGGAUGAAGAGGAAGGCCUGGAUGCACUGAGGAAGAGAGUUGAACUCAACUUUGCUAUACAGCAGAUGAAUAUUCACCCUGGUGUAUAUAUAUAUAUAAAUCUAUUUAUUUAAAAGCAAGUAAGUUCAACUUCUGAACAGUGCAUGGUAACUGUUAGGGAAGCUCUCUUUUUUUCUCCCACCCAUCUUCAUCCUCCUUUUAAACAUUCCUAACUUUGGUCGGG
rnacentral:lncRNA from 1 species